rnacentral:rRNA from 1 species
AGAGUUUGAUCCUGGCUCAGGAUGAAUGCUGGCGGCGUGCCUAAGGUAUGCAAGUCGAACGUCCCGAUUUAUCGGGAAGUGGCAGACGGCUGAGUAAUGUAUAGGAAUAUACCCCUAACUCGAGAAUAUCCCCGGGAAACUGGGGCUAAUACUCGAUAGACUCUUGUUCGUAGUGAACGUAGAGUAAAGUUCCGACGGUUAGGGAUUAGCCUAUAUCCUAUCAGCUUGUUGGUGAGGUAAAGGCUCACCAAGGCUAUGACGGGUAGGGGGCCUGAGAGGGUGUACCCCCAGAAUGGGACUGCGACACGGCCCAUACUCCUACGGGAGGCAGCAAUUAGGAAUCGUACGCAAUGGACGAAAGUCUGACGUCGCGACGCCGCGUGGUGGAUGAAUGUCUUCGGAUUGUAAACACCUUUUAUAUGGGAACAAGUUUCUGAGUGUACCAUAUGAAUAAGCACCUUCUAACUACGUGCCAGAAGAAUCGGUGAUACGUAGGGUGCAAGCAUUAUCCGGAAUUACUGGGCGUAAAGGGAUACGUAGGCGUCCUCUUAAGUUACUUGUUAAAUACUGAGGCCCAACCUCAGACAUGCAAGUGAUACUGGGAGGAUAGAGUAUGUCAGGGAAGAGGAGAGCACUUGGUG